AAUAGUGGUCUUAAUCAGAAAUAUCAAAAUACACCUUUUGACUUCAUAGAUGCUACUUGAACCUGAGAGGCAUCCCUUGAGGCCAAUUUAUAGAUAAGAUAAAGCCCUAGAUAGACACAAAACGGUGGAGUAACUCAGCUGGAAAAGCAGCAUCUCUGGAGAGAUGGAAUGGGUGACGUUUCGCGUAGAGUCCCUUCCUCAGACAAUUGGCAGGAAUCAAGG